rnacentral:misc_RNA from 1 species
AAGUCGUAACAAGGUUUCCGUAGGUGAACCUGCGGAAGGAUCAUUAUUGAAUAAACCUGAUGUGGUUGUAGCUGGCCCUUUCGGGGGUAUGUGCCCACCCAUCAUCUUUAUCUUUCCACCUGUGCACCUUUUGUAGACCUGGAUAUAACACUUUCUGAGGAAACUUAGUCGGGAGAAAUGUUGCGCUUCACAGCCAGCUUUUCUUGUAUGUCCAGGCCUAUGUUUUCAUAUACCCCAAAAAUGUAACAGAAUGUAUCAUUGGGCCUUGUGCCUAUAAACUAUAUACAACUUUCAGCAACG